rnacentral:lncRNA from 1 species
UUUGCUAGAUGGGGUCACAGAAAAAAACAAACAAAAAAAAAUUCAAGCCCUGAAUUCUUUAGUAUCACAUGAAAGAAAGUUAUGCAGCAGAAUAUUAACACCUAAAUAAAGGGUUGUAAAAGCACAAGAACAACAAAAGACAUGUUCCAGCCCUUUGACAAGCUGGCUACCACUCCUCAAGAUUAUAUGAACUGGUAUUUAGUUAGCCACAGACUUCCUGAGAAAGCAACUGCACCUAAAACCAUCUCAGGCUCUACUCAAGCUGAGCGGGAACAUUGCAGAAUCAGGACUCAAGUCCGUCCUAAGCUGUGUUCCCUACAUGCAAAUCCAUAUGCAGAAAUCCUAACCUUCAAAGUGACAGCAUUAGGAGGCAGGGCCUUUGGUAGACACUCAGAUCAGGAAGGUUGAACCCUCAUGCUUGGGUUAGUCCUGGAGAUCCCUUGCCCCUUCUGCCAUGUGAGGACACAGCAAGAAAGCACCACUGUGAACCAGGAAGCAGCCCCUCACCAGACACUGAAUCUGCCAGCACCUUGAUCUUACACUUCCCAAACUCCAGAACUGUGGGAAAUAAAUUUCUCUUGUGUGUAGCCACCCACUCUAUGAUAUUUUGUUAUAGCAACUGGAAUGGACUGAGACAGUUAAUGACUAUGUAAACUGAUGGGGGUCAUGUAGUGGUUAGUAAUAC